rnacentral:rRNA from 1 species
UACGUAGGAUGCAGGCGUUUAAUCGGAAUUACUGGGCGUAAAGCGUGCGCAGGCGGUCUUUUAAGUCAGAUGUGAAAUCCCCGGGCUUAACCUGGGAACUGCGUUUGAAACUGGAAGGCUUGAGUGUGGCAGAGGGGGGUGGAAUUCCACGUGUAGCAGUGAAAUGCGUAGAGAUGUGGAGGAACACCCGUGGCGAAGGCGGCUCUCUGGGACGGUACUGACGCUGAGACGCGAAAGCGUGGGGAGCGAACAGG